rnacentral:rRNA from 1 species
ACGAAGGGGGGCUAGCGUUGCUCGGAAUUACUGGGCGUAAAGGGUGUGUAGGCGGAUAGUUUAGUCAGAGGUGAAAGCCCAGGGCUCAACCCUGGAAUUGCCUUUGAUACUGGCUAUCUUGAGUUCGGGAGAGGUAAGUGGAACUGCGAGUGUAGAGGUGAAAUUCGUAGAUAUUCGCAAGAACACCAGUGGCGAAGGCGGCUCACUGGCCCGAUACUGACGCCUGAGGCACGAAAGCGUGGGGAGCAAACAGG